CUUGAUCUUAUCUGAGCUGAGAAAAAGUGAUUUAUCGUUAGGGUUUCGGCCUUUUCGGGCCAAUGAGCAACCCCAAUAUCCUUGGCUGGCGGCUCCGGUGACGGAAAGGUUUCGAUUCCUUUUAUCGUUAAUUUCCCAUUGUUUUCAGCGAUGAAGACUGCUUGCUGCCUGAGCGCACGAUUUUACUCGGCGCUGUGAUGGCUAUUGCGAGCUUUAACACCCACCCAACCAAAUAUUUAUGUGUUUUUGAAAAUUUUAGAUUUUGAUUAUUUAAGGUUUCUUCUUCUAGCUUUUUGUUUUUGUUCGAUUCGAAUUUGUGGAUUAUGGUUUUGGUUUUCUGUUUUUGUUUUGUUUUGUUCUUAUCAACUAGAAGAAAACUUAAUUCGUGUGUAAGGCUUGUUGUUCCUAGUUAACUAGAGUUUCUUUGUAGCCUGAAAUAUAGAUUUUGGAUUACAAGUUAACUAAAAUGCGUACUGCUUCUGUCUAUAGUUUCCCAGACACUCGAGAAACUAUAAGUUUGAAAAGAUUCUUUCUUUUGUGUUAUAACUAUCGAUUAGAUCCAAGUAAAAGUUCAAAGAACCUAAUUUAAUCGGGUCAUGUUGGAUUUCUAGGAAGAAGAUGAGAAGCUUAUAUUCAAACAGCAGCUGAGUUUGUCCCAUUUAUGGCUUCUUCUGGUGCUAUCAGUGGCUGUUCCAUUACUCCAAUGGUGUUUGAGCAAACAGGACAAGACGGGUCUCUGGUUUGAGCUGUUGGGGUUGCUUUGUCUAAACACUCAACAUGGUAGACGUGAUGGCAGGGGAAAACACCAGUGGCUGGCAUGUCUCUGGAUCUCAAUAUCUUGUAUGAGCUCCAUGGAGAUUUCUGAGAUAAAAGCUUCUUGCAAAUCCCGCAUCUUUGAUGUGUCAUUGAACCUUGUUCAGAUCUCGGGUUUGCGACUUCUGUGUCAUUGGAUCUUUCAACAUCUAGCAACAUGUCAUUGCUGCUCGAGUUUGGUGAUACUUCUUCCUCUACUGGUGAGCCUUGGUGGUUUCUUGUGGACAUCAUGAUACUGGAACCAGGAUUUGUGGACGAGUCUUCUUGCGUAUGAUCAGGUUCAGGAUUCUCACAAACUGAAACCGGGUUGCAGAAGACUCGAGGGUAAGAGCAGUGAGUAAGGCUGGAAGACUGAUUGUUGGUCGGAGUCUCCCAUGGGACAGAUGACUCUGAAAGAGACAGCAACGAUCUGAAACUCGUUGAGAUGGCGGUACUGUCUCUAUCAAAACCGUUCUCCUGAGCCGUAAUUACAUCAAAGAGCGACAAGGUUCAGCCAAAGAUGAAACCAAGAAAAGCCCAUCUUGAAGAUUAAUGACUUGAUAUGUAAAGAAGACCAAAAUUACCUCGUUUAAGCAUUGAGGAUUUGAGCUAUUUGGUCUUGUUAGACUAUUAUUAACCAAGGAGGUUUUCUGUUCGUUCCCAUCAGAAGCAGAUGAGUAUGGAGCCCAUCUUGGCGACUGCUGAAAUCUGAAUUCCAAACUUUUUCUUUGUCUACUGCUGCCCGAGUGCAAUGCAAAAGCGGGACUCUCAUCACUCAUAUCCUGUUCCAAACCAUCUCUAGUAUAGCCAGCAGCAGGUGAGAAGCUGAAAUUUGUCCGCCAUUGCAAGGCUUCAGCUUGACUUGAUUGAGGAAUAUCCCUUCCGCUGUGGGGUGAAGAUUUUGUUGUAACCAGUGGCCUUGAGGCCACAAUACAACAGAGUGCACCCGUUUUGAGCUCUGGUUUAUCCUCACCGCCUUCAAGGCCAAACAAUGCUGCCAAAAGGAAGAGACUUGAAGAAUGAUUUCAGUUGAAACCAAAGUCGUCUUUUUGUAACUUGUAAACACUGUGGAAGGCUAAGUUAAUGAUUGUAAUCUUACUUAAUAAAUGAAAUUCUUGAUUAUAC